rnacentral:rRNA from 1 species
CCAAGGAGUCUAACAUGUGCGCGAGUCGUCGGGUCUUGAAUAGGCCCGCAGGCGCAAUGAAAGUGAAGGGCGACCUCGUCGUCGUCUGCGUUGGGAUCCCCAGUCCGACGUGUUUGGGGCGCACCAACGGCCCGUCCUGUCCGCGAUGUCGGUGGGACGGAGCGAGAGCGUACACGUUGGGACCCGAAAGAUGGUGAACUAUGCCUGGGCAGGACGAGGCCAGAGGAAACUCUGGUGGAGGUCCGCAGCGAUUCUGACGUGCAAAUCGAUCGUCAGACCUGGGUAUAGGGGCGAAAGACUAAUCGAACCGUCUAGUAGCUGGUUCCCUCCGAAGUUUCCCUCAGGAUAGCUGGCGCUCGAGGGAGUCAGUCUCAUCCGGUAAAGCGAAUGAUUAGAGGCCUUGGGGCCGAAACGACCUCAACCUAUUCUCAAACUUUCAAUGGGUGAGAAGUCCGGUUUACAUGACUGAAGCCCGGACAAUUCUCAGGAUGCGAGUGCCCAGUGGGCCACUUUU